AGGACGAACGCUGGCGGCGUGCUUAACACAUGCAAGUCGAGCGGAAAGGCCCUUCGGGGUACUCGAGCGGCGAACGGGUGAGUAACACGUGAGUAAUCUGCCCCUAGCUCUGGGAUAGCUCCGGGAAACCGGGAUUAAUACCGGAUACGACCACCUUAGACAUCUUUUGUGGUGGAAAGAAUUUCGGCUAGGGAUGAGCUCGCGGCCUAUCAGCUUGUUGGUGGGGUAACGGCCUACCAAGGCGACGACGGGUAGCCGGCCUGAGAGGGCGACCGGCCACACUGGGACUGAGACACGGCCCAGACUCCUACGGGAGGCAGCAGUGGGGAAUAUUGCGCAAUGGGCGAAAGCCUGACGCAGCGACGCCGCGUGGGGGAUGAAGGCCUUCGGGUUGUAAACCCCUUUCAGCAGGACGAAGCGAAAGUGACGGUACCUGCAGAAGAAGCGCCGGCUAACUACGCGCCAGCAGCCGC
rnacentral:rRNA from 1 species